rnacentral:rRNA from 1 species
UACAGAGGGGGCAAGCGUUGUUCGGAAUUACUGGGCGUAAAGCGUGCGCAGGCGGUUUUGUAAGCCAGAUGUGAAAUCCCCGGGCUCAACCUGGGAAUGGCAUUUGGGACUGCAAGGCUCGAGUUUGGCAGAGGAGACUGGAAUUCCUGGUGUAGCAGUGAAAUGCGUAGAUAUCAGGAGGAAUACCGAUGGCGAAGGCAGGUCUCUGGGCUGAAACUGACGCUCAUGCACGAAAGCGUGGGGAGCAAACAGG